GUGAAGCCCAGCUUGCUGGGUGGAUCAGUGGCGAACGGGUGAGUAACACGUGAGCAACCUGCCCUCCACUUCGGGAUAAGCCUUGGAAACGGGGUCUAAUACCGGAUAUGAGCUCGCAUCGCAUGGUGUGGGUUGGAAAGUUUUUCGGUGGGGGAUGGGCUCGCGGCCUAUCAGCUUGUUGGUGGGGUGAUGGCCUACCAAGGCGUCGACGGGUAGCCGGCCUGAGAGGGCGACCGGCCACACUGGGACUGAGACACGGCCCGGACUCCUACGGGAGGCAGCAGUGGGGAAUAUUGCACAAUGGGCGCAAGCCUGAUGCAGCGACGCCGCGUGAGGGAUGACGGCCUUCGGGUUGUAAACCUCUUUCAGCAGGGAAGAAGCGCAAGUGACGGUACCUGCAGAAGAAGCGCCGGCUAACUACGUGCCAGCAGCCGCGGUAAUACGUAGGGCGCAAGCGUUGUCCGGAAUUAUUGGGCGUAAAGAGCUCGUAGGCGGUCUGUCGCGUCUGGUGUGAAAUCCCGAGGCUCAACCUCGGGCUUGCAUCGGGUACGGGCAGACUAGAGUGCGGUAGGGGAGACUGGAAUUCCUGGUGUAGCGGUGGAAUGCGCAGAUAUCAGGAGGAACACCGAUGGCGAAGGCAGGUCUCUGGGCCGCAACUGACGCUGAGGAGCGAAAGCAUGGGGAGCGAACAGGAUUAGAUACCCUGGUAGUCCAUGCCGUAAACGUUGGGCACUAGGUGUGGGGCUCAUUCCACGAGUUCCGUGCCGCAGCUAACGCAUUAAGUGCCCCGCCUGGGGGGUACGGCCGCAAGGCUAAAACUCAAAGGAAUUGACGGGGGCCCGCACAAGCGGCGGAGCAUGCGGAUUAAUUCGAUGCAACGCGAAGAACCUUACCAAGGCUUGACAUGUACGAGAAAGCCCCCGAGACGGGGUUCUCUUUGGACACUCGUACACAGGUGGUGCAUGGUUGUCGUCAGCUCGUGUCGUGAGAUGUUGGGUUAAGUCCCGCAACGAGCGCAACCCUCGUCCUAUGUUGCCAGCGGGUUAUGCCGGGGACUCAUGGGAGACUGCCGGGGUCAACUCGGAGGAAGGUGGGGAUGACGUCAAAUCAUCAUGCCCCUUAUGUCUUGGGCUUCACGCAUGCUACAAUGGCCGGUACAGAGGGCUGCGAUACCGUAAGGUGGAGCGAAUCCCAAAAAGCCGGUCUCAGUUCGGA
rnacentral:rRNA from 1 species